rnacentral:rRNA from 1 species
GACGAACCGUGCGAACGUUGUUCGGAUUCACUGGGCUUAAAGGGCGCGUAGGCGGCUCGCCAAGUCGGGGGUGAAAUCUUUCGGCUCAACCGGAAAAUAGCUUCCGAUACUGGCGGGCUGGAGGGAGGUAGGGGCGACUGGAACUUCCGGUGGAGCGGUGAAAUGCGUUGAUAUCGGAAGGAACGCCGGUGGCGAAAGCGCGCGACUGGACCUUUUCUGACGCUGAGGCGCGAAAGCCAGGGGAGCGAACGGG